UUGGGUGACACUGAUUUUGGUAAUCUAAUUGUCAUUUUACCUGAUUCUGAUUUCCCUCUCUGCUGCUUCAAUUUUAUGUGACUUCUCUUUUUCUUUGUUGCUUUUGCUUGGCUUGUAUGAGGGAGAUCAAAAUCAGGGAAAAUG